rnacentral:lncRNA from 1 species
UUAUUCUUAUUUUAUUGUAUUAUGAUGUACUGGUAGUGAUCCUACCAGUUGUGUAAGCCGCCCUGAGUCCCCUCGGGGAGAAGGGCGGGGUAGAAAUAUUGGAAAUAAAUAAAUAAAUAAAUAAAUAAAUAUUGGAGGCCUGUGUGAAUGUUGUAAUUAAUCGCCUUUGUUAGCAUUAAAUGGCCUUCCCAGCCUCGCAUCCUGGCCUGGGGUUAAGGUUAGGGUUCAGAGUUCAGAGUCGUUAGCUGCCCCUGAUUGAUUCCUGUCUGGAAUUCUUCUGUUUUCAGAGUGCUGCUCCUUAUUUACUGUUCUGAUUUUGGAUUUUUUUUAAUACAGGUAGCCAGAUUUUGUUCAUUUUCAGGGUUUACACCUUUCUGUUGAAGUUGUCCACAUGCUUGUGGAUUUCUGUGGCUUCUCUGUGGAGUCUGACAUGGUAGUCAUUGGAGUGCUCGAGCAUUUCUGUCUUCUCAAAUAUAGUGCAAGUGUGUACAAACUAAUGGUGAUGGCUAUGUCGAAGGAUAGUUUUGUGUAGAGGAUAGUUCGGGCGAUGAUGAUCUGGAGCAACUUCUGCUGUUCUAGGUUUUUGAUGACACAGGAGGCAAAGCUUUUUGGCCCACCCACAUAUAUCUGUGUGUGUGUGGAAGGGAAGGGGGGUUGCAGGCGCUCCUGGAGAAAGUCUCCUUCCUUCUGGAGUGUGUCUGCCUGCCCCAGAGCCGGGCCCCUUCCUCCUCCUCCUCCUCCUCCUCCUCCUCGCAUUCCCCUUCCCCAACCCCGGCACAUCUGCAGCUGAGCUUGCAAAGGUUUGACAAAGAGCCAGGGCUGGGCCGGGCCGGGCCGAAGGGGUGGGUGGGCCGCGGAGAGAAGGCAGGCGCCGGAGGAAGAGGCCGAGGGGAAAGGCAGGGGCACGGCCGGGCUGGCCGGACAACGGACGGCCGCGGGACAAGAGGAGGAAGGCCCACCGCAGAGCCCUUGCCUCGCCCCAGGCCCCCCCUUGCCUCGCCCCAGGCCCCCGAGCUGAGCCCAUUCCUUGACCCAACAAGAAGGUGGGCACAGAGAGCUCCAGAGGGAAUGUGAAGAUGUCGACGCUUCUCGUUCCUCCGAUGCAGACGCUCCAAAUCGGUAAGGACUGGGAUUCUUGGAUUCCUGCACCAGCAGGUUGGAAAAUACUAGUCAUUGGUGCAGGAAACUGGCUUUCAGAGAGGAAUCAAGUAGCAGGCAAUCCAUACUCUCCAUAGACCACUUAUACCAUAUACCAAAGGAAGAGACGGACAGCAGAUUUGGAUUUCAGCACUUUACUAUUUGCAAAAUAGUGGUGACAGUGUCAGCUCAUGCUGAGUAAGGAACUACCACACUCCUAUUGGGGUGGACUUCCAUUAUAGCAUUUUACAAGCAUGCGCAGGAGGCUAAUUAACAAUGGAAUUUUACCGACUAAUGCAAUCCCUUAACACGUGUAGUUGCCUCCAACUUAUAUUAAUCAUUAAGCAUUAAAUCAGGUGAGAUGUCCAUGGUCCACGUCAUGUAAGUACUAUCUAGUAAGCCGAAUGUCAUAGCUGUUUGCAGAAGCUGUCUCAACGGGUUCACGACUAUUUGCAUAAUCUAGCCUUGUAGUUUUGUCCUAGUCAUCUUACGUUGAGCAAAUGUCAAGGAGACCCAUGUCUGAGUCACCGGUAGGCUGUUAGGAAUUGUGGGAUUUGAAAUCCAAAACACCUGGAAGGCCUGUUGCACUCUAGCCCUGAAACACCUUUCCACCCAGCACCACACCUGAGUCUAGUGAUUCUAUCUAAAAAGGUUUAUUUAAAAAGCAGAUUAAAAAGGGGGAAAGGACCAUUCCAAAAGGGUCAGUAGACUAGAAAGUACAAAAGAGAAGUAAUCCAAAAAUGCCAAAGAGCAUAAAGUCAAAAGAACCAAAAUCCACAGCAGUCCUUCACACCUACAUCCAUAAACAUGAAAUCAGGAACUUUUCCAGGGGAAACCCUUUCAGAAAACAAAGACAUGAACCAGAACACGAUACUUGAUUCGAGAACUUGAGCAAAAACAAGAAAGCCAUCCCUUAUGGCAAUGUUGUCUCCUCUGAGAGGCCUGAAUCCCAAACCACCCAUGAAAUCAUGUCCAAGACACCUGGCCUUCAAGGUCUUGUCUCAGAUUCUCUGAGAAUAUCUCAUUUGUCUGUUUUUCACUCCUUGUGUUCUCAGGCCUAAUCCCGUUUCUGGAGAACACUUCCCAUUGACUCAAGGCCUUUUCUCAAGGGAACUGGAACUUUCCCUUUCCCCUGUUUCCUGGGAAUGAGCACAGGAACCCACAAAAUUGCUCUCAUCUGCUUGCAACUCUCUCUGAUCACUUUGAAGCCCAUCAUCCCCCUCAGACUCAGAAAAAUCCUCUGACGCUUGCAGAGCUACAACAGGGCCAAAGUUUCCCCAUGCCUGGCUUAGAGUGUAUUUAUUGACCUGUACCUUUAAACCCUUUAGAGACCUUGGAGCAGGAUAAGCGCCAUCAAGCAGGUUGGAGGCACCUGUUUCCCAUCAACUGCAAUGCACUUCUGAUUCCUUGCCAUCCCA